rnacentral:misc_RNA from 1 species
UGGUUCUGGCAUCGAUGAAGAACGCAGCGAAAUGCGAUAAGUAAUGCGAAUUGCAGAAUUCUAGUGAGUCAUCGAAUCUUUGAACGCACAUUGCGCCCUUUGGUAUUCCGAAGGGCAUGCCUGUUCGAGCGUCAUUAUCAACCCUCAAAUCCCCUCGGGGAAUUGGCCUUGGACGGUUGGUCGGGUACCCCCGACCCCUCCGAAAGAAAAUGACGGCGGCCUCGUGGGACCCCCGGUACACUGAGCUCCAUCUCUGGGCACGUAUCGGAUUGCGGGCCCCCGGGACCCCGUCUCUCACCUAUUAUCACAAGGUUGACCUCGGAUCAGGUAGGAAUACCCGCUGA